GACGAACGCUGGCGGCAUGCUUAACACAUGCAAGUCGAACGGAAAGGCCCUGCUUUUGUGGGGUGCUCGAGUGGCGAACGGGUGAGUAACACGUGAGUAACCUGCCCUUGACUUUGGGAUAACUUCAGGAAACUGGGGCUAAUACCGGAUAGGAGCUCCUGCUGCAUGGUGGGGGUUGGAAAGUUUCGGCGGUUGGGGAUGGACUCGCGGCUUAUCAGCUUGUUGGUGGGGUAGUGGCUUACCAAGGCUUUGACGGGUAGCCGGCCUGAGAGGGUGACCGGCCACAUUGGGACGGAGAUACGGCCCAGACUCCUACGGGGGGCAGCAGUGGGGAAUAUUGCACAAUGGGCGGAAGCCUGAUGCAGCAACGCCGCGUGCGGGAUGACGGCCUUCGGGUUGUAAACCGCUUUCGCCUGUGACGAAGCGUGAGUGACGGUAAUGGGUAAAGAAGCACCGGCUAACUACGU
rnacentral:rRNA from 1 species